UUCCCCAGUCUCCAUUCAAGCCCCACCGUUCUCUAGCUGGACUGGAAACUGGCUCACGGGGUCUACACAGGGGGAGGAGGAGGGGAGGAGGCGCCAAGCAGAAGCUCCUGCCUCCAGGUUCCUGCCUUGAGUUCCUGCUCUGACUUCCCUGGAUGAUGGACUGCAAGCUGCAAGACGAUGUAAACUCUUCCUUCCCAGUUUGGCUUUGGUCAUGAUGGUGUUUUAUCACAGCAACAGAAGCCCUAAGACAAACCUUCCAGGAGCACAAAAAGACAGAGUGUAUCCUACCACUGCAGACUGUGUGGUCAGGCUGAAGUGAGCUGCAGAUGGAUGUCUUACCAGCCACGGGAUCUCUGGUAAGUCACUAGACUGUCCAAACUUCAGUCAUCUCAUAUGUAAAAAUGAGGAUCCUAUUUGUUGAAGGUUAGAAAUCACCAUUUUCGUAAGUCAAAAUGGUCAGAGAGUGAUGAUUUCAUGGACUUUAACCUUUCACAAGAGAGAAUUGU